GAGUUUGAUCAUGGCUCAGGAUGAACGCUGGCGGCGUGCUUAACACAUGCAAGUCGAACGAAGCGCCUUAUUUGAUUUUCUUCGGAACUGAAGAUUUGGUGACUGAGUGGCGGACGGGUGAGUAACGCGUGGGGUAACCUGCCCUGUACAGGGGGAGUAACAAUCAGAAAUGACUGCUAAUACCGCACAAGACCACAGCACCGCAUGGUGCAGGGGUAAAAACUACCGGUGGUACAGGAUGGACCCGCGUCUGAUUAGCUGGUUGGUGAGGUAACGGCUCACCAAGGCGACGAUCAGUAGCCGGCUUGAGAGAGUGAACGGCCACAUUGGGACUGAGACACGGCCCAAACUCCUACGGGAGGCAGCAGU
rnacentral:rRNA from 1 species